UGGGGAAUUUUGGACAAUGGGCGAAAGCCUGAUCCAGCAAUGCCGCGUGUGUGAAGAAGGCCUUCGGGUUGUAAAGCACUUUUGUCCGGAAAGAAAUCCUUGGCUCUAAUACAGUCGGGGGAUGACGGUACCGGAAAAAUAAGCACCGGCUAACUACGUGCCAGCAGCCGCGGUAAUACGUAGGGUGCAAGCGUUAAUCGGAAUUACUGGGCGUAAAGCGUGCGCAGGCGGUUUGCUAAGACCGAUGUGAAAUCCCCGGGCUCAACCUGGGAACUGCAUUGGUGACUGGCAGGCUAGAGUAUGGCAGAGGGGGGUAGAAUUCCACGUGUAGCAGUGAAAUGCGUAGAGAUGUGGAGGAAUACCGAUGGCGAAGGCAGCCCCCUGGGCCAAUACUGACGCUCAUGCACGAAAGCGUGGGGAGCAAACAGGAUUAGAUACCCUGGUAGUCCACGCCCUAAACGAUGUCAACUAGUUGUUGGGGAUUCAUUUCCUUAGUAACGUAGCUAACGCGUGAAGUUGACCGCCUGGGGAGUACGGUCGCAAGAUUAAAACUCAAAGGAAUUGAC
rnacentral:rRNA from 1 species